AUGGAGUCAGUGCUCGCCUGGGUUUUCCUCAUCGCUAUUUUAAAAGGUGUCCAGGGUGAAGUGCAGCUGGUGGAGUCUGGGGGAGACCUGGUGAAGCCUGAGGCGUCCCUGAGACUGUCCUCUGUGGGCUCUGGAUUCACCUUCAGUAGCUACUACAUGCACUGGGUCCUCCAGGCUCCAAGGAAGGGGCUGCAAUGGGUCGCACGAAUUAGGAGUGAUGGAAGUAGCACAUACUACACUGAUGUUGUGAAGGGCCGAUACACCAUCUCCAGAGACAAUUCCAAGAACACUCUGUAUCUGCAGAUGAACAGCCUGAGAGCCGAGGACACGGCCGUGUAUUACUGUGUGAUGGACACAGUGACAGGACCUCAGUGUGAGUCCAGACACAAACCUCCCUGUAGAAGGGGAUCGGGACCACCAGAGGGUGCACACUACUCAACACUUCUGUCUUGA